CAAGUCGAGCGGCAGCGCGGGGCAACCUGGCGGCGAGCGGCGAACGGGUGAGUAAUACAUCGGAACAUGUCCAUUUGUGGGGGAUAGCCCGGCGAAAGCCGGAUUAAUACCGCAUGAGCCCGAGAGGGGAAAGUGGGGGACCGCAAGGCCUCACGCGAAUGGGUUGGCCGAUGUCCGAUUAGCUAGUUGGUGGGGUAAAGGCCCACCAAGGCGAUGAUCGGUAGCUGGUCUGAGAGGAUGAUCAGCCACACUGGGACUGAGACACGGCCCAGACUCCUACGGGAGGCAGCAGUGGGGAAUUUUGGACAAUGGGGGCAACCCUGAUCCAGCCAUUCCGCGUGAGUGAAGAAGGCCUUCGGGUUGUAAAGCUCUUUUGUCCGGAGCGAAAAGGUUACGGUGAAUAUCCGUGACUACUGACGGUACCGGAAGAAUAAGCACCGGCUAACUACGUGCCAGCAGCCGCGGUAAUACGUAGGGUGCGAGCGUUAAUCGGAAUUACUGGGCGUAAAGCGUGCGCAGGCGGUUUUGUAAGCCAGAUGUGAAAUCCCCGGGCUUAACCUGGGAAUGGCAUUUGGGACUGCAAGGCUGGAGUGCGGCAGAGGAGACUGGAAUUCCUGGUGUAGCAGUGAAAUGCGUAGAUAUCAGGAGGAAUACCGAUGGCGAAGGCAGGUCUCUGGGCUGACACUGACGCUCAUGCACGAAAGCGUGGGGAGCAAACAGGAUUAGAUACCCUGGUAGUCCACGCCCUAAACGAUGUCGACUGGUUGUUGGGGGUUUGACACUCUCAGUAACGAAGCUAACGCGUGAAGUC
rnacentral:rRNA from 1 species